AGCGAACGCUUGCGGCAGGCCUAAAGCAUGCCAGGCGAACGGAUCCUUCGGGGCUAGUUGAGGAUGGGGGAGUAAGACGUUGGCAGGUGGCUUCAGGAUUGGAAUGGCUCAUGGAACCGGAGCGGAAUGCCGUUGGUGCCCGACGGGGGAUAGAUUUAUCGCCUUUAGAGCGGCCCGCGUCUUAUUAGCUAGUUGGUUGAGGUAACGGCUCACCAAGGGGACGAUCAGUAGCUGGUCUGAGCAGAUGACCAGCCACAUUGGGACUGAGACACGGCCCAAACUCCUACGGGAGGCAGCAGUGGGGAAUCUUGCGCAAUGGGCGAAAGCCUGACACAGCCAUGCCGCGUGAAUGAUGAAGGUCUUAGGAUUGUAAAAUUCUUUCACCUGGCACGAUAAUGACGGUACCCGGAGAAGAAGCCCCGGCUAACUUCGUGCCAGCCGCCGCAGUAAGAC
rnacentral:rRNA from 1 species